rnacentral:rRNA from 1 species
GGGUUGUGAGGUUAAGCGACUAAGCGUACACGGUGGAUGCCCUGGCAGUCAGAGGCGAUGAAGGACGUGCUAAUCUGCGAUAAGCGCCGGUAAGGUGAUAUGAACCGUUAUAACCGGCGAUUUCCGAAUGGGGAAACCCAGUGUGAUUCGUCACACUAUCAUUAACUGAAUCCAUAGGUUAAUGAGGCGAACCGGGGGAACUGAAACAUCUAAGUACCCCGAGGAAAAGAAAUCAACCGAGAUUCCCCCAGUAGCGGCGAGCGAACGGGGAGGAGCCCAGAGCCUGAAUCAGCAUGUGUGUUAGUGGAAGCGUCUGGAAAGGCGCGCGAUACAGGGUGACAGCCCCGUACACAAAAGCGCAUGUGCUGUGAGCUCGAUGAGUAGGGCGGGACACGUGGUAUCCUGUCUGAAUAUGGGGGGACCAUCCUCCAAGGCUAAAUACUCCUGACUGACCGAUAGUGAACCAGUACCGUGAGGGAAAGGCGAAAAGAACCCCGGCGAGGGGAGUGAAAAAGAACCUGAAACCGUGUACGUACAAGCAGUGGGAGCACAGGUUUACCUGUGUGACUGCGUACCUUUUGUAUAAUGGGUCAGCGACUUAUAUUCUGUAGCAAGGUUAACCGUAUAGGGGAGCCGGAGGGAAACCGAGUCUUAACCGGGCGUUAAGUUGCAGGGUAUAGACCCGAAACCCGGUGAUCUAGCCAUGGGCAGGUUGAAGGUUGGGUAACACUAACUGGAGGACCGAACCGACUAAUGUUGAAAAAUUAGCGGAUGACCUGUGGCUGGGGGUGAAAGGCCAAUCAAACCGGGAGAUAGCUGGUUCUCCCCGAAAGCUAUUUAGGUAGCGCCUCGUGAAUUCAUCUCCGGGGGUAGAGCACUGUUUCGGCUAGGGGGCCAUCCCGGCUUACCAACCCGAUGCAAACUGCGAAUACCGGAGAAUGUUAUCACGGGAGACACACGGCGGGUGCUAACGUCCGUCGUGAAGAGGGAAACAACCCAGACCGCCAGCUAAGGUCCCAAAGUCAUGGUUAAGUGGGAAACGAUGUGGGAAGGCCCAGACAGCCAGGAUGUUGGCUUAGAAGCAGCCAUCAUUUAAAGAAAGCGUAAUAGCUCACUGGUCGAGUCGGCCUGCGCGGAAGAUGUAACGGGGCUAAACCAUGCACCGAAGCUGCGGCAGCGACACUCAGGUGUUGUUGGGUAGGGGAGCGUUCUGUAAGCCUGUGAAGGUGGCCUGUGAGGGUUGCUGGAGGUAUCAGAAGUGCGAAUGCUGACAUAAGUAACGAUAAAGCGGGUGAAAAGCCCGCUCGCCGGAAGACCAAGGGUUCCUGUCCAACGUUAAUCGGGGCAGGGUGAGUCGACCCCUAAGGCGAGGCCGAAAGGCGUAGUCGAUGGGAAACGGGUUAAUAUUCCCGUACUUGGUGUUACUGCGAAGG